rnacentral:rRNA from 1 species
AUUGAACGCUGGCGGCAGGCCUAACACAUGCAAGUCGAACGAGUGGCGGACGGGUGAGUAAUGUCUGGGAAACUGCCUGAUGGAGGGGGAUAACUACUGGAAACGGUAGCUAAUACCGCAUACCAUCGGAUGUGCCCAGAUGGGAUUAGCUAGUAGGUGGGGUAAAGGCUCACCUAGGAGACGAUCCCUAGCUGGUCUGAGAGGAGGACCAGCCACACUGGAACUGCGACACGGUCCCGAUUCCUACGGGAGGCAGCAGUGGGGAAUAUUGCACAAUGGGCGCAAGCCUGAGACAGCCAUGCCGCGUGUAUGAGGAAGGCCUUCGGGUUGUAAAGUACUUUCAGCGGGGAGGCGUUACCAGCAGAAUAAGCACCGGCUAACUUCGUGCCAGCAGCCGCGGUAAUUC